GAUGUUACGUUGGUUCAUGCAUGUGAUUAAGAGGUGCUCGGAUGCUCCAGUACGAAAGUGUGAAAGACUGACUAUGGAUGAUUUUAUACGGGGUAGAGGUAGUAGGCCAAAAAAAUAUUGAAAGAAGGUGAUUAGGCAUGAUAUGGAGUAGUUACAACUUACAGAGGACAAGACCUUGAUAGGAAGGAAUGGAGGAUGUGAAUUAGG
rnacentral:lncRNA from 1 species